UACAGAGGUCCCGAGCGUUGUUCGGAUUCACUGGGCGUAAAGGGUGCGUAGGUGGCGGGGUAAGUCUGAUGUGAAAUCUCCAAGCUUAACUUGGAAAUGGCAUUGGAAACUACUCUGCUCGAGGGUUGGAGGGGGGACUGGAAUGCUUGGUGUAGCAGUGAAAUGCGUAGAUAUCAAGUGAAACACCAGUGGCGAAGGCGAGUCCCUGGACAACUCCUGACACUGAGGCACGAAAGCUAGGGGAGCAAACAGG
rnacentral:rRNA from 1 species